UAAAAGAAAGUUUGCAGCCUGAUCUCCUCUGUGCCCAGAAGCUACGGUAAGCAGGAUUGGGCCUAGAUGGUACUGGAUGGGUGACCACCAGGGGGAUAAUAGGUGUCAUUUUGC
rnacentral:rRNA from 1 species